AGUAACUCACCUCAUCACAGCCCGGGAGUCAUUUUCAGGUCUGUGAACUCGAACUUCACCACCAGCAUUUCCCUAGAUGGAGUUGUUAGAUUCUGGUAGUGCUGUUCCCUGACCCCAAGGAUUCUAAGGAGAGAGGAAUAGGCAAUCCAGAACGUGACAAAAGAGACACUUGGGGGACAGUGACAAGAUCAGAGAUUUCCUGUGGCAUAACAGAAGAUGGGAAGACCCAGAAGCCCAGAAUUCUAUCAAGGACCAACUCAAACCAAGCUAUUCCAUUUUCACAUGAAUGAUUACGACAGAGUGCAGCAGACCUGCCCACUUCUGCUCUGGUUCCCUGAAAUCUGUUCUCAACACCACUUCUCCACUCAAACUCCACAGUGGCUUCCUUCCUCCCACUCAAAGUACAAGGCAAGGUUCUAACAAUAGCCUAUGAGGUGCUACAACCUUUGUUCCCCA
rnacentral:lncRNA from 1 species